AGCGAACGUUAGCGGCGGGCUUAACACAUGCAAGUCGAGCGAGAACGGGGCUUCGGCUCCUAGUAAAGCGGCGGACGGGUGAGUAACACGUAGGUAAUCUUCCUUCGAGCGGGGGACAACGGUCCGAAAGGACCGCUAAUACCGCGUACGUUUCCGAGGACUCUGGUCUUCGGAAGGAAAGCUAGGUAGCAAUAUCCGGCACUCGGAGCGGAGCCUGCGUCGCAUCAGCCUAGUUGGUGGGGUAACGGCCUACCAAGGCGAAGACGCGUAGCUGGUCUGAGAGGGCGACCGGCCACACUGGGACUGAGACACGGCCCAGACUCCUACGGGAGGCAGCAGUGGGGAAUCUUGCGCAAUGGGCGAAAGCCUGACGCAGCGACGCCGCGUGAGGGAUGACGGCCU
rnacentral:rRNA from 1 species